GCUGUUUGGCGUAGGGUCGCGGGAACGCUAAGUUGGUUCGGUGCGGACAGAAAGCUCCAGAGGAGGUGGUGUCCCCACCGCUGAAGCAGCUGCGAGGCGGCCUCGUCCCCACCAGGUCGCCUGCCGCGUCCUUUCCCGCUCUUCCCGCAGGUCGGAGGCCGCGCCAGGGAGGCCGGCGCAGGCACUUACGGGGCAUUUGCCAGAAGAGUACGGACGCCUCAAAGGGCAAAGCCGUCUCUACAGCUUCAUUACAGCUGGUAUUUCUCUGUGAUAAAGGUUCUCCUUUCAGCAGAAGCACUUACGGACCCUGCAGUGCUCUCAUGAGCUGACGCAUAGCUUGUGUCACUCGCUCGCGGGACGAGCUGUUCCCCAUUGUCCCUUGACCGGGAACUUUACUACCCUACGUCCCUCCUCAGGAUCCUUAAAUGCUAGCACUUCACACUUACCUGCAAACUUCUGAAGAGGAUGAGAGGGUCCCCGUACGGGCCACCACUUGCCGGAGCCGCUCAAACUGCCCGCAGUUUGAAGAACUGACGACACCGGGAUUCGUUGCAGAGACUUUAUU